UCAAGCUACAAAGGGCGCAAGGAGAAUGCCUUGGCACUGGGAGCCGAUGAAAGACGUGGUAAGCUGCGAUAAGCUUCGGGGAGGAGCAAACAUCCUUUGAUCCGGAGAUUUCUGAAUGAGGAAACUCACCAGAGUUCAUACUCUGGUAUCCUGUACUGAAUCCAUAGGUACAGGAGGGGAACCGCCUGAACUGAAACAUCUAAGUAGGGCGAGGAAGAGACAUCAAACGAGAUUCCGUUAGUAGUGGCGAGCGAACGCGGAAGAGGGCAAACCGGAAGGAGAAAUCCUUCCGGGGUAUGGACCGCAUUUAGGACUUUAGCUGUUAAUCGAAUGGCAUGGGAAGGCCAACCAAAGAGUGUGAGAGUCACGUAGAUGAAAACGGCGAGAGCUGCGCGAGUUCCAGAGUACGGCCAGACACGUGAAACCUGGUCGGAAGAUGGGGGGACCACCCUCCAACCCUAAAUACUACCCAGUGACCGAUAGCGUAUAGUACUGUGAAGGAAAGGUGAAAAGGACCCCGGGAGGGGAGUGAAAUAGAACCUGAAACCUUGUGCCUACAAGCACAUAGAGCACAUCAACGUGUGAUAUGGUACUUUUUGUAGAACGGUCCGGCGAGCGAUUGUAUGUUGCGAGCUUAAGGUCUUAAGGACUGGAGGCGCAGCGAGAGCGAGUCUGAAGAGGGCGUUCAGUAACAUGCAAUGGGCCCGAAACCGGGUGACCUACCCAUGAUCAGGCUGAAGUGAAAGUAAAAUUUCAUGGAGGGCCGAACCGACCUCCGUUGAAAAGGCGGCGGAUGAAUUGUGGGUAGCGGAGAAAUUCCAAUCGAACUCGGAGAUAGCUGGUUCUCCCCGAAAUAGCUUUAGGGCUAGCCUCAUAUUAGAUACCCGGAGGUAAAGCACUGAAUGGCCUAGCGCCCGAGAGGGUAGCGAAGCCUAUCAAACUAAGAAUGCCGGAGUAUUGAUGUAUGGGAGUCAGACAGUGUGAGAUAAAUCUCAUUGUCAAAAGGGAAACAGCCCAGAUCUACAGCUAAGGUCCCAAAUUGUAUCUAAGUGGAAAACGAUGUGGAAAUACGCAGACAACCAGGAUGUUGGCUCAGAAGCAGCCACUCAUUUAAAGAGUGCGUAAUAGCUCACUGGUCGAGCGUCUCUGCGCGGAAAAUUUAACGGGGCUAAGAUACAAACCGAAGCUUAGGCUGCACGUAAGUGCGGGGUAGGGGAGCGUUGUGUAAGCGGAGAAACAGUAGCGAAAGCGGCUGUGGAGUUUACAGAAGUGAGAAUGCCGGAAUGAGUAGCGCGAAUGUGGUGAGAAUCCACAUGGCCGGAAACCUCAGGUUUUUGGAGGAAGGUUCGUCCGCUCCAAGUUAGGCGGGAGCUAAGGUCAGGCCGAAAGGCGUAGCCGAUGCACAGACGGUAGAGAUUCCGUCCCCACCGAAAGAUUUAAGCACAGGGACACUUUUUGAAGGUCGGAGCCAGGUGUUGGUUCUGGUAGUGAUCGAGGGAAAUAUAGUACCGAAGUCCGGCUGGAAGAGAGGCGAGAAAAGCUGUGUGUAUAUCUAAGGUGCCCGUACCGCAAACCGACACAGGUAGGUAGGAAGAAGAUUCUAAGGCCAACGGGAGAAGGGUUGUUAAGGAACUCGGCAAGUUGACCCCGUAACUUCGGAAUAAGGGGUGCUCACGAGAGUGAGCCGCAGAGAAUAGGCCCAGGCAACUGUUUACCAAAAACACAGGUUUGUGCUAAAUCGAAAGAUGACGUAUACGAGCUGACGCCUGCCCGGUGCUGGAAGGUUAAAAGGAGAUGUGCAAGCAUUGAAUUGAAGCCCCAGUGAACGGCGGCCGUAACUAUAACGGUCCUAAGGUAGCGAAAUUCCUUGUCAGGUAAGUUCUGACCCGCAUGAAAGGCGUAAUGAUCUGGGCACUGUCUCAACAGCCCGCCCGGCGAAAUUGUAGUACCGGUGAAGAUGCCGGUUACCCGCGACAA
rnacentral:rRNA from 1 species